rnacentral:rRNA from 1 species
CUCAGAAGCUCACCGGUGUUGGGCCUGGUUCGUACUUGAAUGGGAGACCGCUGGGAAUACCAGGUGCUACAGUGG